UGGCGUGGAGGUGUUGCGAGCCUGUGGGGAUAGGAUCGCCCUGAACUCCUGGGAAUCCAGGACGAAUUUGAAGCACCUACAAGGGAGUAUUUCCUUAUUUACAUUGUAAACUUAGGUAAAUGGAGUAAUAUAAAAAUAAAUAAAAGUAAAAGGAGCAAACAGGCAAUUUGAAGCACCUAUAAGGGUCCGCCCCUGGAUGUAGGUGCCACGACUUGACUCCUCUAGCAAGAUAUUGUUCACUUUAGGCCUCCCCCUCACAAUUUUGUUCUUGCGCUCAAGCUAAUGCUAUCUUGCCCAAAAGGCCUCUUGCUAGGAAGAGAAGUGCCCACACAUAUAAGGCACUUCACCUUUCCCUCCCCAAGUGAUGUGGGACUGCUCACCGUUCUUGUUUCCCCAAGACACAGGUCCUAU
rnacentral:lncRNA from 1 species